UACGAAGGGGGCUAGCGUUGCUCGGAAUCACUGGGCGUAAAGCGCACGUAGGCGGAUUGUUAAGUCAGGGGUGAAAUCCUGGAGCUCAACUCCAGAACUGCCUUUGAUACUGGCGAUCUCGAGUCCGGGAGAGGUGAGUGGAACUGCGAGUGUAGAGGUGAAAUUCGUAGAUAUUGCAAGAACACCAGUGGCGAAGGCGGCUCACUGGCCCGGUACGUGACGCUGAGGUGCGA
rnacentral:rRNA from 1 species